rnacentral:rRNA from 1 species
UACGUAGGGUGCAAGCGUUAAUCGGAAUUACUGGGCGUAAAGCGUGCGCAGGCGGGUUUGUAAGUCUGUCGUGAAAGCCCCGGGCUCAACCUGGGAAUUGCGAUGGAGACUGCAAGGCUUGAAUCUGGCAGAGGGGGGUAGAAUUCCACGUGUAGCAGUGAAAUGCGUAGAGAUGUGGAGGAACACCGAUGGCGAAGGCAGCCCCCUGGGUCAAGAUUGACGCUUAUGCCCGAAAGCGUGGGGAGCAAACAGG